GUAUUAUCGAACAUAUUUUUAAUCAAAUGUACACGUCACAAUAUUACAGAAACAUUUCAUUAAAAACCAAGAAAAGAGAAUAUUCUAAUAUACAUACAGUAAAUAAAUGUAAAAUGUACACACUGAGUAAAUGAAAUGUUAGUAUACAAUAUAUGUAUUCUUAUGUAUUGAUAUGGCUAUACAAAGCAAGCUGCUCCUGAGCAGUUACUGGCUGUGCCACACAAAUCAUGUCACAACGUGGCUCUCACAGAGUAAAACUUUAUCAAUAUCACUCACAUUUUCAUAAUUUAGAAAGCGCACACAGUAAAAUUGGCUCUUUAAUUCUGGGAUAUAGGCAUUUUGGGAUAAACCUUUCAAAUUAUUUAAUAUUUUUUGAUAAACUUGUAAAAUGAGUUAAUAUUUUGAUAUUGUUUAGAUAAUGAUGUGUUUAUAUACAGGUGAUACUCAAAAAAUUAGAAUAACGUGCAAAAGUUCAUUUAUUCAGUAAUGCAACGUAAAAGGGGAAACUAAUAUAUGUGA